UGGCUUUGGCAUUCUCGGCCCUGGUAUCUUUCAACCAUCCAUCUAGGUAAACCUGGUUAGAGUCAGGGUUGACUUUGGAUUUCUCAGUUCUGAUAUCCUUCAACCAUCCAUCAAGGUAAACUUGGUUGGAGUCAGGGUUGGCUUUGGCAUUCUCGGCCCUGGUAUCUUUCAACCAUCCAUCUAGGUAAACUUGGUUGGAGGCAUGGUUGACUUUGGCUUUCUCGACUCUGGUAUCUUUCAACCAUCCAUCAAGGUAAACUUGGUUAGAGUUAGGGUUGACUUUUGUUUUCUCUCCUUUGGUAUCCUUCAACCAUCCAUCAAGGUAAACUUGGUUAGAGUUAGGGUUGACUUUUGUUUUCUCGCCUUUGAUAUCUUUCAACCAUCCGUCAAGGUAAACUUGAUUGGAGUUAGGGGAGAGUUUUUGGUUCUUUAGUGGAGUGUUUUUGAGCCAACCAUCAAGGUAAGGUUGGUCAACCUGGUUCAU